rnacentral:rRNA from 1 species
AGAACGAACGCUGGCGGCGUGGAUAAGACAUGCAAGUCGAACGGGAACUUUACUGGUAGCAAUACCGGUGAAGUUCUAGUGGCGAACGGGUGCGUAACACGUGGGCAAUCUGCCGAGAAGUGGGGGAUAGCUCGCCGAAAGGCGAAUUAAUACCGCAUAUGAUCAGGGAGACAUCCUUCCCAACAUACAAAGCCGGGGCAACCGUGGCGCUACUCGAUGACGCCCGCGGCCUAUCA